rnacentral:rRNA from 1 species
GGGGAAUAUUGCACAAUGGGCGAAAGCCUGAUGCAGCGACGCCGCGUGAGGGAUGGAGGCCUUCGGGUUGUAAACCUCUUUCGCUCAUGGUCAAGCCGCAACAAUGGUUGUGGUGAGGGUAGUGGGUAAAGAAGCGCCGGCUAACUACGUGCCAGCAGCCGCGGUAAUACGUAGGGCGCGAGCGUUGUCCGGAAUUAUUGGGCGUAAAGGGCUUGUAGGCGGUUGGUCGCGUCUGCCGUGAAAUCCUCUGGCUUAACUGGGGGCGUGCGGUGGGUACGGGCUGACUUGAGUGCGGUAGGGGAGACUGGAACUCCUGGUGUAGCGGUGGAAUGCGCAGAUAUCAGGAAGAACACCGGUGGCGAAGGCGGGUCUCUGGGCCGUUACUGACGCUGAGGAGCGAAAGCGUGGGGAGCGAACCGGAUUAGAUACCCUGGUAGUCCACGCUGUAAACGUUGGGCACUAGGUGUGGGGGCCACCCGUGGUUUCUGCGCCGUAGCUAACGCUUUAAGUGCCCCGCCUGGGGAGUACGGCCGCAAGGCUA